UACUCAGAAGGGGCCAGGUUACUUAGACUGGGUGUGACCUAAGCCCUUCUGAGUAU
rnacentral:pre_miRNA from 1 species